UGGAAACUAGCUUAAUCGGUAAAGCACUAGUUUUUGGUCCUAGCUAUAAAGGUUCGAACCCUUUGUUUCCAA
rnacentral:tRNA from 1 species